CCUACGGGUGGCUGCAGUGGGGAAUAUUGGACAAUGGGGGCAACCCUGAUCCAGCCAUGCCGCGUGUGUGAAGAAGGCCCUCGGGUUGUAAAGCACUUUCAGUGAGGAAGAACGCCUGGUGGUUAAUACCCAUCAGGAAAGACAUUACUCACAGAAGAAGCACCGGCUAACUCCGUGCCAGCAGCCGCGGUAAUACGGAGGGUGCGAGCGUUAAUCGGAAUUACUGGGCGUAAAGCGCGCGUAGGUGGCUUGAUAAGCCGGUUGUGAAAGCCCCGGGCUCAACCUGGGAACGGCAUCCGGAACUGUCAAGCUAGAGUGCAGGAGAGGAAGGUAGAAUUCCCGGUGUAGCGGUGAAAUGCGUAGAGAUCGGGAGGAAUACCAGUGGCGAAGGCGGCCUUCUGGACUGACACUGACACUGAGGUGCGAAAGCGUGGGUAGCAAACAGGAUUAGAUACCCCAGUAGUC
rnacentral:rRNA from 1 species